UCCCUGUUACCAGGGCAGUCUCGUUAGACAAUUCAACUAACGAUAAGGGUUGCGCUCGUUAAGGGACUUAACCCGACAUCUCACGACACGAGCUGACGACGGCCAUGCAUCACCUGUCACUUGGCUCCAAAAGGCACUUUCUUAUUUCUAAGAAAUUCCAAGGAUGUCAAGUCUUGGUAAGGUUCUUCGCGUAUCGUCGAAUUAAACCACACGCUCCACCGCUUGUGCGGGUCCCCGUCAAUUCCUUUGAGUUUUAAGCUUGCGCUCGUACUCCUCAGGCGGGAUGCUUAACGCGUUAGCUUCGCUACUCAACGGGUCGAUACGUCAAGCAGCUAGCAUCCAUCGUUUACGGCGUGGACUAC
rnacentral:misc_RNA from 1 species